AAAGGAAAAUAAUCUGACGUGUUUUAUGGUCCCGUUGUAGAUAAUGGAGAAUACUGAGUCUAGAACAAACGAGGAAGAGUAUGUCAGUCAUAUCAAAAACCAAAUAUUAAAGCAUUUAUCGGGAGUAAAAUAGUGGAACGGACAGGCUUGAAGGUGAGAGACGAGAGAUGAUCAGAUAUGCAAACAACGAGCAGUGACGGGUAAAUCAAUGGUAGAAGACCAGCUAUAUACAGGUCGCAUCCGACAAAGGUAUGACUUUGAUAAAUGUGCGCAAGGAAUGAGGAUAGAAAAAAAUUGAGAACAGGGAAAUAUGGCGUGAAAUUGUGCGGAAGUUGCAAAGGUUCUGCAAAUGAGCUAAAAAAAAAAAAAACUAAAAAAGAAAAUAAAUACGUUUUUACUAUGUAAUCGUCGAAUAUUUUGUUCAAAAACGUGGACGAAAUUACCGUUGAUUUUAGAAAUAAAAAGUACCUUACCGAUAAAAUUAACUAGAGGGCGACAUUUCCAAAGGAACCUAGGGAAUAUUGGGUUAGGUGGCGGAAUAUAAUACGAAUACCUAUAAAUAUAGAGACGUUAUUAUCGCCGUCCGAAUCGAUCACGAGCGUCCGCGGACAUCGUUAUUAUAACGACCGUGGUAGCCGUACGAAAUUGCAAUAAUAAUAUUGCACAAAUAUCUUAAACUGUAUCAAUGUACGGGAUAUGCCUUAUUCUCCCGUUUCGUCUGCUCGCCUGCAACUUCGCUGAGUCACGACCACACGAUAUUGUGUAUGAUGUGAAUUUAUCAACCGGACGGUUAACGAGAUGAUAAUAAGGUAAACGCGUAUAAAUAUAAGUGGUGGAUAUCGGAGAGGAGACGAUUUGUAGACAAUCCACCUUAGGGGUUUUGUCACCACUAUAUAUCUGUUA